UACUAGGUUCUCCUAGUAGCAUGCUUGUUGGAGCGCCGAACUUUCUCUCUAACUCUUCUUCUGAAGAGUCGUGAGGUAUUGCUUCUGCUAGAAGUCAAAGAAAUGGAACAGCACACGUUAAUAACUCUGUGCAGUAAUAUUUUUAUGGCCCCCAAUCAAGCAAGAUUACCCGCUGAACUUAAGCAUAUCAAUAAGCGGAGGAAAAGAAACCAACAGGGAUUGCCUUAGUAACGGCGAGUGAACAGGCAAGAGCUCAGAUUUGAAAGCCUUCUGGCAUUGUAUUCUGAAGUAUUUAUCCUGAGUAAUGAUGUCUAAGUCUUCUGGAAAGGAGCGCCAUGGAGGGUGAUAGCCCCGUGUGACAUCCCACUCAUUGUAGGAUUUAUACGUGGAGUCGAGUUGUUUGGGAAUGCAGCUCAAACGGGUGGUAUGCUCCAUCUAAAGCUAAAUAUCUGUGAGAGACCGAUAGCGAACAAGUACUGUGAAGGAAAGAUGAAAAGAACUUUGAAAAGAGAGUGAAAAAGUACGUGAAAUUGUUGAAAUGGAAGGGUAGGCCGCUAACCAUGUAGAACCGUGUUUGGGGGGAAGAUAAAAGCUGAAGAAUGUGGCUCCUCGGAGUGUUAUAGCUUCAGUCAAUAUUCCCAUCCGAGCGCGAGGAUCUCAGGUUCUACUAAAUGGUGGUCUACCACCCGUCUUGAAACACGGACCAAGGAGUCUAUUGCCUGCGCGAGUAUUUGGGUGGCAAACCCAUAUGCGAAGUGAAAGCGAGUGGUUCCAACCUUCGGGGGCAGAAUCAGCCGACCGUUCAUAGGAACGGAUUGAGUGGAGC
rnacentral:rRNA from 1 species